GACCUGUCGUGUACCGGUACCAUUCGGCGAGUGAGCGGCAAAAGCUCAAAUUUGAAAUCUGGUACCUUUGGUGCCCGAGUUGUAAUUUGGAGAGGGCAACUUUGGGACCGUUCCUUGUCUAUGUUCCUUGGAACAGGACGUCAUAGAGGGUGAGAAUCCCGUGUGGCGAGGAGUGCGGUUCUAUGUAAAGUGCCUUCGAAGAGUCGAGUUGUUUGGGAAUGCAGCUCUAAGUGGGUGGUAAAUUCCAUCUAAAGCUAAAUAUUGGCGAGAGACCGAUAGCGAACAAGUACAGUGAUGGAAAGAUGAAAAGAACUUUGAAAAGAGAGUGAAAAAGUACGUGAAAUUGUUGAAAGGGAAGGGCAUUUGAUCAGACAUGGUGUUUUGCGCCCUCUGCUCCUUGUGGGUGGGGGAAUCUCGCAGUUCACUGGGCCAGCAUCAGUUUUGGUGGCAGGAUAAAUCCGUAGGAAUGUAACUUGCUUCGGGAAGUAUUAUAGCCUAUGGGAAUACUGCCAGCUGGGACUGAGGACUGCGACGUAAGUCAAGGAUGCUGGCAUAAUGGUUAUAUGCCGCCCGUCUUGAACCACGAGACACGC
rnacentral:rRNA from 1 species